CGUGGGGGAAGUAUAGUAUUAGUUUCAUACUUCAAUGAUUACUCCCUUUAUGUUCUUUCUCUCUUCGUUAUUCCUUCUUUCUUUCUCUUAUAUGAUUUCCAUGCAUUAAUGGCAGGGCGGAGUGGAAUGCGCUGUCCAUUAGUUUAUAGGUUGUGAGUAUACAUCCAUACCUACCGUCAGCAUCAGAUAGCAUCGAUGAUUACUGAUCAGACAGAAACGAAAUCAACCACUGUUCGGAUAAUGCCACCUACAACACAAGUUGGUAUACAUCCACUCCCGCUGUCAGCAACAGAAAGCAUCGAUGAUCAGGCAGAAAUGAAAUCAACCGCCGUUGAGAUACCGCCACCUACAACACAAGAUCAAAUUCAUGGAUUCUUUGUCAGUCAGACCAAAAUCAUACUAAACGUUUUACCAUACAUUAAAUGCAACUCUAUAUACCUCAGUAGACAAAGAAUUUAAGGCAUUUGUAAAUAAAAUUGGAUUCAUGGUGGCUGAUGCAAUACAUCAAUAUAAAUCAUGAACAAACACGAUUAUUCCCAAAUUUAAAAAUCAUUAUAGACCAUCAGUCAGUCAUAUUCUAAUUUUUAUGCCACAGGCAGUUGUUAUGGAUUUCAAUAAAAUGUUGACAUUGGCGUGCAUUUAUAUUUACUAUGAAAAUUCAUUGGGGUCACGAGAUGACACACUAUCCAAUAUAUUGAUUAUAUCAAAGUAGUUAUUGCUAUAAUACGCUACAACUAUAUCAACAAUAAACAUACAAAGGCCACACUACAACAUUUGGUGAAUGAAAAUUGUUUAGAAGAGAAAAAAACAACAACUAUACAAUUUAUACUUCCGAUCAAUCAAAAACAAUACAAACAUUACUACAAUAGAUAAACAUCCAAAUAGUCAACAAAAUUUUAAAUAUUACUUAUAAAACAUGUAUGAAGACACCAAUAUUUUACAAACCGCCAACAACCAUCUGGAAUAAACAAAAACCAAAAAUUCAAUCAGAUUAUAUUACAUUGUAUAUUUAAAUUUAAUGACUUUACAUUAAAAAUGUACUACAUUUUUCAUUUAUUAUAUCAUCAAUUAUCAUCACGCCUAACAUGAGAAUAAUUGAAACUAUUAAGAACAUUUUUAACAAUUUAUUAAAUUAAAAAGUUAAAACAAAAUUACUAAGUAUUAUAUAGUAUCAAAAUUGCAGGUUAAAGAUUAUUUAUGUUACCGAUUAAAUAUUAACCCGGAUAACUGUUGUUAUUUCCGACAAAAAAACCACAUUUUGAAGCAAGAUUUUGGACAAAUGCACCCCAUUGGCACACAGAUUUUUCCUAUCUUUACUUAGCUUGAUAAAAUAUAUACCUAGCCGCAAAGUAGGACUUAAUUGGUUUGAAAUACUUGUUUAAACUUUUCAUCAGAGUGCAUACUUAACAUCGUUAAGCGUGCUAAGAACACAUAGACUAAAAAGCACUUUAUGAAUUUCUUCACUAACCGAUGAUAAUAAUAUCACUUUUUUAAAUAUUGUUUUUGAUUGAAUUUACUAAAAAAAAAUUGUAGUAUCUAUACCUGUUUCAAAAGUUCCUGGUGAUCCAAUAGCUUGACCGAAGUUCAUUAUUGAAUCAGUCUUAGGAGUUGUCAUUUUGUAUUGGUAUAAAUACACUUAACACUUGAAACUUCUAAAGCAAUAGUGAUUAUGAUUAAACUGUUAUUGUCUUCGUCGCCAAUUUGGUGUGUAUUAUUUAUAUAAAUAAUAUCAAACAUAUUAAUUAUAGUCCUUUAUUGUCAAAUGUAUAAAUCGUUAUGACAUACAUUCAAAUUGUUUACUCGCUAAUGACCUAUCAAAAAUAUCUACCAAUCAUAUAUUUAUCAUAUAAAUAUAUGAUACUUAUGAUUAUUAUUAAUAUAAACCCUACGUCUUGUAUACAAUAUAAAUGCUGAAUAUGCAACAGUUUGGUAAAAUAUAUUAUUUCUAUGAGUGGUUUUGGUUUUCCACUAGGAGAGAACGAUUUAAAACUUAUCAUCUUAUCGUAAAAGAUAAUCUUACAAAAAUUGGAAAAAGUGUGAACAAUUUCAAAAACAAUUGUCCUGGGUCUGAUUGGGCUAAACAGUUUUUAAUACGUCAUCCAGAACUGUCUGUACGAUUUGUAGCAAACAUUAAAAGUUGUUUACAUUUAUUUUAAAUUUGUUAUAAAAUUAUAUAUACAAGUAGUAUUAAUAUUAAAGUGUUAAUUUUUGUUUUUUUAAUAAGUUAAUUGUUUAUUUUGAUUUGUAUUAAUAACUAGUUUAAAAGUUGUAGAUUUUUAUUUUUAAUUUUAUAUAAAAUUUUUAUUUUUUAUGCAAUAGAAGAAGUAGGUAGGUACUCAUCAUUUAAAUACAAGCAAUUUGAGAAUGUUUGUUUCUUAAAUAAGCAGUGACUGAUAACAUUGCACCAGAGGGCAGAGACAAUAUUUCAUUCAAAACAAGUACCUAAUUUGUAGUAGUGGUGCAAAGAAAACUCCUGGGUAACCAAAACAAAAAAAUUAAACAAUUUUUUAAUAAUCUAAAAUAAAGUAAUUUGGCUAUGGAUAUAUGUUUCUUCAGUACCCUAAAGUAACCAAUAAAAGUUUCAAAGUUCUAACUCAUACUUUUUUUAUAAUCAGAAAUAAACAAAUAAUAUUCAAAAUGUAGUGCAAGGGUUAGUGCUAUUGCUCUGUUUUAUAUGAUUCGCUAUAAUAUAUAUAUAUAUACAUUCUUACUAUAAUAUUAUAAUAUGUGCCAAUGAAUGAAAUUAUGUCGAAUUAGUAUUUUUGUUGUUCGCCCAUUGUCCUAUUUAUUUAGCUAAAAUACUAAACUGUUAAAAAUUACGUUCUAUACCUACACAAUUAUAUUAAAAUAUAUCGUGAAGAAAUUAAUAUUUUUUCUUUAUUUUUUUUACAAACGACAAAACUUCGUUAAUAUUGUUAAACUAUAUUAAGAAAUUUAGUUAUAAUUAAAAAUAUUAAAUUUAUUAAGAAUAAAAACCCACCUCAAAUAAAUUUUUUUGAUUUCUAUUCAAAUAUUAUUAUAAUUCAUAACGAUUAACAAAGUAAUUACUUGCUUGUUAGUGCGUUAAAAUAUUCUCAAUUUUUAAUUCCUUUGACAUUUAACAGAGUUUUUCUAUAUUUUGUAUUAAUCAAUAUUAAAUUAAAUAAUUUUAUUUUUAAAUGGAUGGAUGGAUGUUGAUAAAAAAUAAUGUGAUCAUCAAAACUGCCCCCCAAUCAUCUUCAUAUCAUAUACCACAAACUUUUUUUACUAGGACAAGCAAUUGCUGUAUUAUAUAUUGUACCUAUUUUAAUUAGUUUAAUUUACUAUAUUUUGAAAUUUCAUAGUAAAAAUUAUUUCCAUAUAUUUCCUUCUUCUAUUUAACAAACAAAAAUAUUUUUUACGCUAGUAUGUUUAAGUAUUUGAUACGACUAAGAUUACUUUUAAAUAUGUUUAAUAUUUUUACCAAAACUAUUUAUAAUUUUAUUUUUUAAACAUGUUAUUAUACAGUUUCAAAAACAUUGAAACACAGUUUUAUAUCUAUAACCAGCUAAAGACGUAUUCCCCGAAAAGAAUUUUUUUUCGCGGAAUUUUACUACAAAAAAUAACCAAUUGUAAACCCAAUUUAUACCUAAUGGCUAAUAUAUGUAAGUAUGGCAUCCAGUGGCCCAACACCAUACAAUUUUGACUUUUUUUGAGCUGUUUAUGGACAUUGCAGUUUUCAAUUUUUUUUUGUUUCUUUUCAUAUAAAUAUCAAUAAUAUUUUAUUUGUUGGGUAAAAAAGCGUGAAAAUUUAAUGCAAGGCUCCUGAUAUAUUUUUACAAUAGCAGUUGAAAAAUAUUAAAAAUACAUAGGCACAAUUUUUUUUUAUAAGGAUUUAAAGUUCUAAUUUUGACAAAAUUUAAUAAUUAUUUUGUAGUUAAAAAUUUAUAAAAUGUUUAAAUUUUAUAGCUAAGGAUUGAAAAAUUAAAACAUUAUUCCACGUAAAUAGGUUAUAUAAAUUACUUUAUUCACAAUAAUAUCAUCAAAUAUAUUAGUAAUACCAUAGGCUGACUGACCGCUUUCGUUUCAAAUAGUUUUUCUUAUACAAUGAUAUUAUAUCAUUGAAUUCAAAUUUAACAUCAUCCAUUACAGUGACCCACUUGUAACCUACUGUACAGCAGAGCGACAUCCACUUACCCACCUUUUUUUAGUAUAAUGUUUAUAUUUUAUUUUGUAUUUCUUUUAAUGGAUCAAUAGUUGUAUCAUAUGAACCCCCCCCCCCCCCCCCCCCAAAUAUAUUAAUACCUAUCAUAAUUAAUUAUAGAUUCUAUUAGUGCUUGAUACACUACUCUAAUUGUCAUAAGUUCUAAGAUAUCUGUUAAAUUUUUAAAUGCAUACAUAAGUUCUCUUAAUUUCAAUAUUAAACAUUUUAUGUGGUCAUUUUAUUCAAUAUUAUGACACAUUUCUAUACCAAAAUAUUUACAGUGUUUAAAUAUUUUUCCAAAGGUUUGACAUGUACAAAUUUUGAUGUAUACAUAGAUUUGUUUUAUUUGGUUGAUUCGAAUUAACUAUAUAGUGUGGUAAUGUGUAGGUUUUUUCUACGUUUAGAAAUAAAUUAUUUUCACAUAGCCAUUUUUGUAUUUUACUCAUGUCGGAUAUUCAAGUAAGUAUUUUGGUUUAUAUGUAUAUUAAAGGUGCGGUGCCGAUCAUUUAUUAAGGAGCAACGUUUAGGCAAUUCAAUUCACAUGUUGUAUCGGCCUCGUGCGAAACGUGCAUGUGUGUGAGUAUGUAAAUCUAUAUUAGUGUGAGUGAGCUACAAUUACAUGCACAGAUAACGAUACUUACGCACGCGCAUGCACAAGUCAGUAGUUGACUUCGAUGACUAUUCACUGUUUUGAUGAACAAAAUGCUUCUACAGGAAAAACUCUCACGCCUCGUUGAUAUGUCGGAUUUUGGUCAUUUUUUUUUUAUCUGAAAGAUGAGAAGUUUUUGAAGGUCAGAUAAAAAUUUCGAAUUUUUUUUCACUAUAAAUAGUAGUAGAAAAAUACGUUUGAAAAAGAACAAAUAUUGUGCAUUAUUCAAAUGCAUAUUUCAGCUUCUAUAAUUAUAAUUUUCAAAAUUGGGCUUAGAUCCGACCUACAAAAUGUUCUCUACUUUCAAAUAAAAAAAAAUUAACGAAAUCCGACUAUUCUACAGGGCAUGAGAGUUUCUCCUGUAAGACAUGUUUUUAUACCAAAAAACGCACCGGCUCCGACCCCUUAACACUGAUGCAUGAUAAAGUAGCGGCCAGUUAGGUAAACUGUUGUCGUGAAACUCGGAAAAAGCGUAGCCUUAGCUCGUAAUUCGAGUGAGAGACGUGUAAUGGUAGCCACUCUUCGUAAAUAAACUAUUCUAAAAAGAGUGUCAUCAUCAUAACCCUAACAUAUACCUAUAUUAUAAUAUUGUAUAAUGUAUAUACAGCCACACGGCACACAGAUGUUUAUAUUAUAUACGUUUUGAUAUACUAGUUCAUGUUGUAUUGGUAAUCCACAAAAUAUUGUUUUUAAUAAUUUAGUAGUUAAACAAAUUACUAACAUGUAGCUGCAAUUUGUUGUAAUAAAAGUGUAAGAUAUGCAUUUAUAUGCUAAAUAAAAUUUUAAAUCUAGCUUUGUGAAAGCAUGAAACGUAAUUGUUUCGUACUCUGCUAUUUUUGUGACUGUGUAAAACAAAUAUGCAAAUGCUACAAGUCCUUUGCCCUAGUUAUUCAACUAAUAAUUACAUGGGCGAGCAAGGACUUGCAAUAAGGAGCAAGUACUGGUAACAAAGAGCAAUUACUUGCAACAGGGUGCGAGAACUUACAACAGCUAGAAAGUACUUGCAACACGAUGCAUUAUGUACUUGCAACAGGGAGCAAGGACAUUCAACCAGAUACAAGAACUUGCAAUGGCGAGUACCGGAGUACCUAAGGACUUGAAACAACGACGAAGCACUUACAAUGACGUGCAAAUGCUUGCAAUGACGAGCUGCAAGGACUUGUAACACUGAGCAAGGAUUUGCCACGCCGAGCGCAACAACUUGCAACCAACUUUCAUGCAUUUGCUCUUUUUUGCCAGUACUUGCUCGUUAUUGCAAGUCCUUGCUCGCCCAUGCAAUGAUUAGUUUAUUCGCAAAUAAUAGGUGUUUUCUAAAAGUUCAUGUUUUUAUGAUAAUUUGUAUUAUGGUCGU